rnacentral:lncRNA from 1 species
UGGGAUCCAACGCGUAAGUUUGGCACCGUUCCGCAGUUUUUAAUUCCAAUGGAAAUGCUUUUUCACUCGGCUAAGCCACGUGCAAUCUUGUGGGAAGUUCACACCAGGAAAUGUGAAACCCACCCUUUCCAGAGCAUUCUUUUCAAAUAAAGAAGAAUCUGAUUCGUACUUUGAGAUUAAUAAAAUCAUCUCAACUGAAAAAUUCUGUUCCGCCUUCAAAUUCAAUCCUCCAUUUGCUUUUCGUAGUUUCUCUUCAGAUACAGAUAUGAGCGAACCGCCGAAGUACGGUUAUCCCUAUCCUGCUCAAGGUAAUCAUUUCUGUUUCUGUAUUUUCCUCUUCAAUCACACUUUAAUUAGUAGCUUCAUAUUUAGAACUCCAAGCGUCUGCAACUAGUUAAUUACUGAAAUCUGUCUAUUUGAUUUCCGGAUAUUAAUUGUUCCAAAAAUGAUAUAUGCUUUUUGUUCGCUGUAAAAAUAAUUGAGUUACUGUUUCGGUUCAGGUUAUUAUCAGGGACCUCCAGUAAUGGCACCUCCUCAGUAUGCUGCUCCACCGCCUAAGAGAGAACGAGGGUUUCUCGAAGGAUGGUAUGUAUUUUGUUUUAGAUUUUUAAUUAUUUUCUAAUCUUAUUUAUUGUUAAUAAAUUAGGUGAUUUGAUUAAAAAAAAUAAAUGAAUUAAUGAUUAUUCUAUAAUUAAUUUUGUUCGCAGCCUCGCAGCUUUAUGUUGUUGUUGCUUGCUGGAAGAGUGCGGCGACUGCUGUGACAUUUUGUGCUUUUUCUAAUGUGAAAAUUAUUAGUUGUUCGUACAAUAUAUUGGAUUGAACUUUGUUUAGUUGAAUUGGAAAGAAUUGGACAAGAAAUUUCUGUAUUUAUUUGACUAUUCAUGUAUUGUAUGUUGCAAAAGAGGAUUGUAUUUUAGAUUUUUAAUAUAAUAAAUUUAACUAGUAUUGAAUGUAAAAAUAUUAUUAAUUAUUUAUUGUAUACGCGUUGUUGAUCGAA